CUUACACCAAAUCUCAACCGCUUAAUUAAACAAAUCCUACGGCUCAUAUAUCUCGCUAAAUAUAACAAUUAGAAACUCACGUGACACUUUUCCCUCUGCAAAAUCAUCUUUCGAUGUUACUUUGUUCCUUUCCUCACUGUCAUUGACCUUUGUUCCUCACCGCCAUCUUUCCCUUUUCCGUUUCCUCCUCACCGUACUCUUUGUUUAAUUGAGGGUUUCAUUUUCUCAGCUCUUGUCAAUCGAAGCUCAAUCUGUAAUCCCCAAACAUGAUGGGAGAAACAAGUUGAGGGUAGAUUCAUGAACAGAGUUGCAGUCUUAUUUGGAGAAAUAGGUUGAUUGUAUCAGGUUGUAUGAAACCAGACAUUCUAACUUAAUGGAUAGUAUUCUGAUGUCAAAAGCGGUACAGGGGACAAGGGUUCUUAAAUGAUGGUUGUGUGAGUGCUUAUAGGCCUGGAAAGAUGGAUUCAAACUUACGGAAUUUGUGCUCCAAACUGUUCAGAUUGAAGAUGUGAUAUCGGAAGAGGAAGAAAUUUAUAGCAAGAAGAAUGAAAUGAGAUCUUUAGCAAUUACAGGGAUUACUCAUUGUUUUUAUUUCUAAAUGGCGUAGUUUGAAUGUUCUCAUUGUAAUUUUCAGUUAGAGUUAGUUUUGUAUUAGCAUCAAAUCAAUUGUAUUGUCCAAUAUUAUAUGAAAUGAGAAUAAAAAAGUUAUUCUGCUAUA